GAUGAACGCUGGCGGCGUGCUUAACACAUGCAAGUCGAACGGAAAGGCCCUGCUCUUGCGGGGUGCUCGAGUGGCGAACGGGUGUGUAACACGCGAGUAACCUCCCCUUGACUUUGGGAUAACUUCAGGAAACUGGGGCUAAUACCGGAUAGGAGCUCUUGCUGCAUGGUGGGGGAUGGAAAGUUUCGGCGGUUCGGGAUGGACUCGCGGCUUAUCAGCCAGUUGGGGUGGUAGUGGCUUACCAAGGCUUAGACGGGUAGCCGGCCUGAGAGGGUGAACGGCCUCCUGGCGACUGCGAUACGCGCCAGACGCCUAUGGGAGGCAGCAGUGGGAAGUAUUACGCAGUGGGGCGACGCGAGAUACAGCGGCGCCGCGUGCGGGAUAACGGGCUUCGGGUUGUGAACCGCUUUCGAAUGAGAUGAAGCGUUAGUGACGGUACUGGGUAAAGAAGCAACGGCUAACUACGUG
rnacentral:rRNA from 1 species